UACGAAGGGGGCUAGCGUUGCUCGGAAUCACUGGGCGUAAAGCGCACGUAGGCGGAUUGCUAAGUCAGGGGUGAAAUCCUGGAGCUCAACUCCAGAACUGCCUUUGAUACUGGCGAUCUUGAGUCCGGGAGAGGUGAGUGGAACUGCGAGUGUAGAGGUGAAAUUCGUAGAUAUUCGCAAGAACACCAGUGGCGAAGGCGGCUCACUGGCCCGGUACUGACGCUGAGGUGCGAAAGCGUGGGGAGCAAACGGG
rnacentral:rRNA from 1 species